rnacentral:tRNA from 1 species
GCCCACGAAGCGUAAAUGGUGACGUGCCGGUUUCGUAAGCCGGAGAACGGGGUUCGAUUCCCCGCGUGGGCU